ACUCCUACGGGAGGCAGCAGUAGGGAAUCUUCCACAAUGGGCGCAAGCCUGAUGGAGCAACACCGCGUGAGUGAAGAAGGGUUUCGGCUCGUAAAGCUCUGUUGUUAAAGAAGAACACGUAUGAGAGUAACUGUUCAUACGUUGACGGUAUUUAACCAGAAAGUCACGGCUAACUACGUGCCAGCAGCCGCGGUAAUACGUAGGUGGCAAGCGUUAUCCGGAUUUAUUGGGCGUAAAGAGAGUGCAGGCGGUUUUCUAAGUCUGAUGUGAAAGCCUUCGGCUUAACCGGAGAAGUGCAUCGGAAACUGGAUAACUUGAGUGCAGAAGAGGGUAGUGGAACUCCAUGUGUAGCGGUGGAAUGCGUAGAUAUAUGGAAGAACACCAGUGGCGAAGGCGGCUACCUGGUCUGCAACUGACGCUGAGACUCGAAAGCAUGGGUAGCGAACAGGAUUAGAUACCCUGGUAGGAUAGC
rnacentral:rRNA from 1 species